AGUGAACGCUGGCGGUAGGCCUAACACAUGCAAGUCGAACGGCAGCACAGGAGAGCUUGCUCUCUGGGUGGCGAGUGGCGGACGGGUGAGGAAUACAUCGGAAUCUACUCUGUCGUGGGGGAUAACGUAGGGAAACUUACGCUAAUACCGCAUACGACCUACGGGUGAAAGCAGGGGACCUUCGGGCCUUGCGCGAUUGAAUGAGCCGAUGUCGGAUUGGCUAGUUGGCGGGGCAAAGGCCCACCAAGGCGACGACCCGUAGCUGGUCUGAGAGGAUGAUCAGCCACACUGGAACGGAGACACGGUCCAGACUCCUACGGGAGGCAGCAGUGGGGAAUAUUGGACAAUGGGCGCAAGCCUGAUCCAGCCAUACCGCGUGGGUGAAGAAGGCCUUCGGGUUGUAAAGCCCUUUUGUUGGGAAAGAAAUCCAGCUGGCUAAUACCCGGUUGGGAUGACGGUACCCAAAGAAUAAGCACCGGCUAACUUCGUGCCAGCAGCCGCCGUAA
rnacentral:rRNA from 1 species